AUCGACACUGACGCUGAGGUGCGAAAGCGUGGGUAGCAAACAGGAUUAGAUACCCUGGUAGUCACGCCGUAAACGAUGAGAACUAGCCGUUGGAUCUUAGAUUCAGUGGUACAGCUAACGCAUUAAGUUCUCCGCCUGGGGAGUACGGCCGCAAGGCUAAAACUCAAAUGAAUUGACGGGGGCCCGCACAAGCGGUGGAGCAUGUGGUUUAAUUCGAUGCAACGCGAAAAACCUUACCAACCCUUGACAUCUAGUGAAAUUUCUAGAGAUAGAUUUGUGCCUUCGGGAACACUAUGACAGGUGUUGCAUGGCUGUCGUCAGCUCGUGUCGUGAGAUGUAUGGUUAAGUCCAGUAACGAGCGCAACCCCUAUUCUUAUUUGCCAGCACUUCGGGUGGGAACUAUAAGGAGACCGCCGUGUAUAACACGGAGGAAGGCGGGGACGACGUCAAGUCAUCAUGGCCCUUACGGGUUGGGCUACACACGUGCUACAAUGGGAGAUACAGAUGGUUGCGAAAGCGCGAGCUGGAGCUAAUCCCAAAAAGUCUUCCUCAGUCCGGAUUGGAGUCUGCAACUCGACUCCAUGAAGCAGGAAUCGCUUGUAAUCGUGAAUCAGAAUGUCACGGUGAAUACGUUCUCGGGCCUUGUACACACCGCCCGUCACGUCAUGGGAGUGUGUUGCACCAGAAGUGGUUUGCCUAACCUUUGGAGGGCGGCCCCCACGGUGUGGUACGCGACUGGGACGAAGUCGUAACAAGGUAACCGUA
rnacentral:rRNA from 1 species